AGCAACAAUGUUUUGCCACAUUCAAUGGGCCACUCCAACAAGAAUUAAAUGUUGAGUGAUUCCAAUUUGAAAAUCAAGAGUGAGGAAGUUGAAGAACACAAUUUCACUCCUACGGCAUAUGAUAUUAUUUUAGGCUCAUCAUCCAAGGCUGACAAAAAGAGAACAGAUCAUGCUUAAAAGGUCAUAAAGCCCGCCGAAAUUGCAGUAAAAAAUUCAAGUAACAAUGUUUUGCCACAUGCAAUUGGCCACUCUAACAAGAAGAAAAUGUUAAGUGAUUCCAAUUUUAAAUUCAAGAGUGAGGAAGAUGAAGAACACAAUUCCACUCCUACAGCUCAUGAUAUUAUUUUAGGUUCAUCAUCCAAGCCAGACAAAAAGAGAACAGAUCAUGGUGAAAAGGUAAAGGUACUGCCCUUGUGUUGUUAUGCUCUUUGUUUACCUGUGUCCAUGUCCUCUCUCUCUCUCUCUCUCUCUCUGUUGUCAAUGGUCAGCCAGCGGAAAUUGCUGUGAAAACUACAAGUAAAAAUGUUUCACUGCAUGCAAUUGGCCACUCCAACAAGAAGAAGAUGCUGAGCAAUUACAGUUCCAGUCCAACAACAGAUGAUAUUAUUUUUGGCUCAUCAUCCAAGCCUGACGAAAAGAGAACAGAUCAUGGUAAAAAGGUCCAGGGUAACAAUGUUUUGCCACAUUUAAUUGGCCACUCCAACAGCAAGAAAAUGUUGAGCGAUUCCAAAUUGAAUAUCAAGAGCGAGGAAGCUGAAGAGCACAAUUUCACUCCUACAGCAGAUAUUAUUUUAGGCUCAUCAUCCAAGCCUGACAAAAAGAGAACAGAUCAUGUUGAAAAGUUCAAGGGUAGCAAUGUUUUGCCACAUGUUAUUGGUCACUCCAACAAGAAGAAGAUGUUGAGCUAUUCCAAUUUGAAAAUCAAGAGUGAGGAAGUUGAAGAACACAAUUUCACUCCUACGGCAGAUGAUAUUAUUUUAGGCUCAUCAUCCAAGCCUGACAAAAAGAGAACAGAUCAUGAUGAAAAGGUCAAGUGGUCAGCCUGCAAAAAUUGCAAUGAAAAAUUCAAGUAAAAAUAUUUCACCGUAUGCAAUUGUCCACUCCAACAAGAAGAAAAUGUUGAGCGGUUACAAAUUUACAAUUCCAGUCCAACAGCAAAUGAUAUUAUUUUAGGCUCAUCAUCCAAGCCUGAUGAAAAGAGAACAGAUCAUGGUGAAAAGGUCAAGCCUGCAAAUGCUAUUGUUAAAGGGAGCAGUGCAGACGCAUCUAGACAUGCAACUGGGUUCAAGAGAAGGGCAAAUGAUUCUGAUUCUGAAAUAGGCGCUUUCAGACAAGCAGGAAGUGGAAAUCCUGAUUAAGAAGUAAAGCUAAGUGACUUGGCAGUGAAAUUUGCACGAAAAGGGUGUGGCAAAGGAUCAAAGAUUGCUCCAACUGACAAAGUUGAUGCUUCAAAAUCAUCUGCAAAAGCAGAAUGCAAGAGGAAAAUCCCUCCUUUAAGAGUGAAAGUUAAAGAAACUGGACUCUCUUCCUUAACUUCACUUUCAGAGAUGCCAGGUCAAAGGAGGCAAGAAGCAAGCGAGCUGCAGUAGAUAGAGGGGAGGAAAUCACAAGCAGAAGGCGAUCUGGAGGUUGAAGUUGCUUCUAAUGGAAAGAGACCAAUUUUAAAUUUGCCUCUGAAGCCACAGAAGCUGAAGAAA